rnacentral:lncRNA from 1 species
UCUCAGAGCAUGUCAACACCAUUAAGGGACUCAUUGUGGCAGCUGUUUUGGACAUUCCUCCCAUGACAGGGGCUUGCUAUGGUGGGUCCUGGGCUGGAAACCAUAUGAAGCUAUCUAGAGUGAGACCCAUGUUUGCUGGCUCCAAGGUCACACUGACCACAGUGGAUUCUGCAAGAAAGGACUUUGAAACUGCCAUGGUAACGUAUGUCUGUAAUUCUAGCACUCAGAAGGUGGAAGCGGGAAGGUCAGGAGUUAAAGGCCGUCCUCAGCUACGUGAAUGGGAGUCCACAACCUGAUGGGGUCAUCAGAAGAGUUCAAUGAGUCAGGACAUGUCCAGUGCCAGUACCUGACACAUGUUACACCCAUCCCUUCUUGCUAUCUGUGGAGGCUAAUUCCACUUGCCCCAUCCCCAAAUCUACAGAUGCUUAAGUCCUCUAUGAAAUACAGCAGUAUUUGUAUACUGCGGGCCUGGGAGUAGGGGAAGAGGAAGGAGAGAGAGAGAGCACACGUCCAGCCAGAGUUCCUGUGCUCUAGGCGAGCAGACUCAGGAGGACUGCCGGAUGCUUUCCACUCAGCCCCAGGUGGGCAUCUGGCUGUGUGAAGCCACUGACCCCACUUGGUGGGAGGUGUACAAGGGGUAACCCCCGUACCAGGUUCUCAGUCUCCU